AUUAAACCAAAACAAGGUAUUGAAGGUGAUGCCUGCCCGGUGACUCACGUUCAACGGCCGCGGUAUCCUAACCGUGCAAAGGUAGCGCAAUCAAUUGUCCCAUAAAUCGAGACUAGUAUGAAUGGCUAAACGAGGUCUUAACUGUCUCUUACAGGCAAUCGGUGAAAUUGAUCUCCCUGUACAAAAGCAGGGAUAAGCCCAUAAGACGAGAAGACCCUGUGGAACUUUAAAAUCAGCAACCACCCUAAAAUACAUAUAAUCCUACUAGGUUUACUAACACAUUAGGAUGAUGGUCCGCAUUUUUCGGUUGGGGCGACCUUGGAGCAAAACAAAACCUCCAAAAACUAGACCACACCUCUAGACUGAGAGCAACUCCUCAACGUGCUAAUAGCACCCAGACCCAAUACAAUUGAUCAAUGGACCAAGCUACCCCAGGGAUAACAGCGCAAUCUCCUCCGAGAGUCCGUAUCGACGAGGAGGUUUACGACCUCGAUGUUGGAUCAGGACAUCCUAGUGGUGCAGCCGCUACUAAGGGUUCGUUUGUUCAACGAUUAACAGUCCUACGUGAUCUGAUUCCAGACCAGA
rnacentral:rRNA from 1 species